rnacentral:rRNA from 1 species
CCUACGGGAGGCUGCAGUGAGGAAUAUUGGUCAAUGGGCGCGAGCCUGAACCAGCCAAGUCGCGUGAGGGAAGACGGCCCUACGGGUUGUAAACCUCUUUUGCCGGGGAGCAACGGGCGCCACGUGUGGCGCCACUGAGAGUACCCGGAGAAAAAGCAUCGGCUAACUCCGUGCCAGCAGCGCCGGUAAUACGGGGGAUGCGAGCGUUACCCGGAUUUAUUGGGUUUAAAGGGUGCGUAGGCGGGGCGUAAAGUCAGUGUGAAAAUUGAGGGGCUCAACCCCUUCCCGCCAUUGAAACUGGCGCUCUUGAGUGGAAGAGAAGUAUGCGGAAUGCGUGGUGUAGCGGUGAAAUGCAUAGAUAUCACGCAGAACCCCGAUUGCGAAGGCAGCAUGCCGGCUUCCGACUGACGCUGAAGCACGAAAGCGUGGGGAUCGAACAGGAUUAGAUACCCGGGUAGUC